rnacentral:tRNA from 1 species
GUAGCUCAACGGAUAGAGCAUCUGACUACGGAUCAGAAGGUUGGGGGUUCGAAUCCCUCC